UCUGUGGAGACAGAGGUCCUGGAGGUGCUGCUGAUGGAGGUGGUGGCCGUGGUCUUGUGUGUGCUCAGAGGUGGCACAAUGUGUGGCACAGUGGACUGUUCAUGGGUGAAGGCUGCUGGGAGGAAAGCACAGGUCAGCUGAGGAUGGGGGCCGGAGGGGAAAGCAAAGAAGGUUGGGACAAGCACCAUACUGGGGGAAUAAGGCCAACUAGAAUUUCUGUACUGCACUGUGUAUUUGCAGGAAAUGGGGCUGAGUAGGACUGUGGGUCUUGUCCAUAAGCUUCUGCCUAGUUGCUCCCCUAAAAAGGCAGGAAGCAGAGAGGGUGCCUUCCUAAGGGGCAAAAUCUCUCUGCUUCUUCCUGGAACAAGGCCCUUUCUGAAUGUGCAUGUCCCUUCAAGGAAUAGGCAAUGUGUAAGGACUGCCCCACAAGACUGGAAGGCCAUUCUACAUGGGAGAGACCUUUUGGGCAUGGCCAUACCAAGAAACAGCCAUACUACUGUGCUGAUGUGAAAAGAAAUGGGAAUGGAGAGCAAAACCUAAAACUGUACAAGCAACCUGCUCUGCUAGGAAAGAAGAUGGGAAAAGGGAGAGCAGGGGGAAGCAGCAGGAUGGAUAAGACAGAUCCUUACCAGGCUGUGAGGAGCUGAGCCAUGCUGAGGACACAGUUGAGAAGGGAGAAGAAGCAGGAGAUGGCAGCGUGCUGGUUUUGGCUGUGGUGGGUGCAGAGGACUCUGUUACAGGAGACUCCUUUGGAGCACUGGUGGUAGGGGAAGAGGGCUUGGGCCUCAGGGUUGUAGGUGUAGGCCUGAGGCUGGUGCCUGGAGCUGCUGUGGAGGAGACUGUGGAAGUGGUGGCAG